rnacentral:lncRNA from 1 species
GUGGCCUAUGUGCCCCAGCAGGCAUGGAUUCAGAAUGACUCUCUCCGAGAGAACAUACUGUUUGGGCGCCCCCUGCAGGAACAUUGCUACAAGGCGGUGAUGGAAGCCUGUGCCCUCCUUCUGGAUUUGGAAAUCCUUCCCAGUGGGGACCUCACAGAGAUUGGUGAGAAGGGUGUGAACCUGUCGGGGGGCCAGAAGCAGCGUGUGAGCCUGGCUCGGGCUGUGUAUUGUAACUCUGACAUCUACCUCUUGGACGACCCCCUCUCGGCUGUGGAUGCACAUGUUGGGAAGCACAUCUUUGAGAAGGUGGUGGGUCCCAUGGGCCUACUGAAGAACAAGACACGGAUCCUGGUCACCCAUGGUAUCAGCUACCUGCCCCAAGUGGAUGUCAUCAUUGUCAUGAGUGGCAGCAAGAUCUCAGAGAUGGGAUCUUAUCAGGAGCUGCUAGACCGGGAUGGGGCCUUUGCUGAGUUCGUGCGCACCUAUGCCAACACUGAGCAGGACCUGGCUUCAGAGGAUGACAGUAAGAAUGGUAGGGGACUUUCAGGAGUUGGCCUUGGUCAUUAUAGCUGCUUAUGGAAAACCUGCACUCUAGGGGUGCAGUUCAUGAAGGUAUUAGGUAACAAAAACGUCUGGCUUUUGGAGACCAAUAGGUAGGUCAGCUUAACCUUGCAGAUUAAGUACAGAGGGUUUUGGUUUUGUGACCUCAAGGUAAGUCUCUAUUCUUUCUGUAAAAGUACUUUCUCCUGUGGGCUUUCGGUUCUUCAAUCUCUAGAAAGGGGAUAAAAAUAUAUUUUCUCUAUUCCUCAGGGGGCUGAGUACUAGUGAUAACCAUGGUGUAGCUUAGGACACACCGGGCUCAUAGGACAUGGCCUAAUGUGGAGAGUGUGAACACUCAUGGUGGCCAUGUUCCUCAGAACUUUGUGGCCUGGAGAUUGUCUGACCUGUGUUGGUCUCUCCCCUCACCCCUACUCCCAAAGAGCAAUGUGACAGCAGGGGCAGCCUGGCAUGUCCUGGUGACUAGUGUAGUCUUGGGCAUCUGGGAUGUCCUGAUAGCUUGAUAGCCUCAGCUCUACUGCUCCUCUGACACAGAACACAGACCAGGCCAUUGCAGCUACCUCACCUACUGUCCUGGGUUCUGCUACUGGCCUGAGUUUUUGGUGCCAGUUCAAUCUGUUCCUGCAGACCUUAUUGCUGGGGGAGUUAGGAAGGAAGUGCCAGGCUCUGUCAGCCUAGGUCUCUCUGUCAGUGAGUCAGGGACCAUUUUGCAGCCUUCUCAGUAGCUUCUUAUUCUAUUAGUCACAUAAGCUCUCCUCAGAGGACUCUGGUUACCUGCAUCUUAGGAGCAGUGGCUUUAGUUGACUUGCACAGAGAUGAUGCCACGCCAGCAUCUGUCUCGCAGCCCACAGGGACACCCCAUCGAUCUGCACAUCUUUCUUUGGUUAAAGCUAUUGUA